CUUCCCACUCCAACGCUGGGUGACAUUGAGCUCACCAGCGCCACCGUCCCCGGCGAAGUUCUGCGCUGGUCGGCGGAGUAGCAAGUGGCCAUGGGGAGCCUCAGCGGUCUGCGCCUGGCAGCAGGUUGGAGAUGCUUGAUGCUGCAAAGAACAAGAUGCGAGUGAAGAUCAGCUAUCUAAUGAUUGCCCUGACGGUGGUAGGAUGCAUCUUCAUGGUUAUUGAGGGCAAGAAGGUGAGAAGGGGUUUCUUCUCUAUCCAGUAUGUAUGUUCUCCACCAAGAACCUAGAGUAAAUCAGGGAUUGACCCUUGUAUUUACCCUCUGAGAAGAGGAGGCUACUUUCUACAUUACAUGAGAAAAGAUAAGCAAAAAAAUAAGACAUAUUGGGAACAAGCCUGGAAUAUCAUCCUUGGGGAUAGAUAGCAAAUCCUAACUUUGGCGUGGUGAAGAAGGACUAGAUUCAUUUUGUGUAAUGUAAAUUUAAAAAGUGUUUCUGAUGACAGGUGUCAUAAUGUAAAUUAAGAAAUAGGACACUGGCAUAUUUAAUCACCCACUGCAUAUUUCCAGAGUGCUCUUGGUACCCAAGUGUAUUUACCCUCACCAUAACUGCCUUCAGCAUGGUGAGCUUUCUUAGCGGGGUUCUUUAUUUGAAGCUCAGCCAGACAGGGCCAUGUGUCUAAGGACCACAGCUCCUAAGCAGUACAUAGGAAUACAAGUCCAGAAAUCUUUAGCACAGAUUAUAAUUAAUAGCUAUCACUAAUUGAACACUCACUGCAUUCCAGGUACUUUUCUAGCUGGUAUCUCAUCUG
rnacentral:lncRNA from 10 species